CCAGUGAGUGGCGGACGGGUGAGUAACACGUAGGUAACCUGCCCCGGAGCGGGGGAUAACAUUUGGAAACAGAUGCUAAUACCGCAUAACAACAAAAGCCGCAUGGCUUUUGUUUGAAAGAUGGCUUUGGCUAUCACUCUGGGAUGGACCUGCGGUGCAUUAGCUAGUUGGUAAGGUAACGGCUUACCAAGGCGAUGAUGCAUAGCCGAGUUGAGAGACUGAUCGGCCACAAUGGAACUGAGACACGGUCCAUACUCCUACGGGAGGCAGCAGUAGGGAAUCUUCCACAAUGGGCGCAAGCCUGAUGGAGCAACACCGCGUGAGUGAAGAAGGGUUUCGGCUCGUAAAGCUCUGUUGUUGGAGAAGAACGUGCGUGAGAGUAACUGUUCACGCAGUGACGGUAUCCAACCAGAAAGUCACGGCUAACUACGUGCCAGCAGCCGCGGUAAUACGUAGGUGGCAAGCGUUAUCCGGAUUUAUUGGGCGUAAAGCGAGCGCAGGCGGUUGCUUAGGUCUGAUGUGAAAGCCUUCGGCUUAACCGAAGAAGUGCAUCGGAAACCGGGCGACUUGAGUGCAGAAGAGGACAGUGGAACUCCAUGUGUAGCGGUGGAAUGCGUAGAUAUAUGGAAGAACACCAGUGGCGAAGGCGGCUGUCUGGUCUGCAACUGACGCUGAGGCUCGAAAGCAUGGGUAGCGAACAGGAUUAGAUACCCUGGUAGUCCAUGCCGUAAACGAUGAGUGCUAGGUGUUGGAGGGUUUCCGCCCUUCAGUGCCGGAGCUAACGCAUUAAGCACUCCGCCUGGGGAGUACGACCGCAAGGUUGAAACUCAAAGGAAUUGACGGGGGCCCGCACAAGCGGUGGAGCAUGUGGUUUAAUUCGAAGCUACGCGAAGAACCUUACCAGGUCUUGACAUCUUGCGCUAACCUUAGAGAUAAGGCGUUCCCUUCGGGGACGCAAUGACAGGUGGUGCAUGGUCGUCGUCAGCUCGUGUCGUGAGAUGUUGGGUUAAGUCCCGCAACGAGCGCAACCCUUGUUACUAGUUGCCAGCAUUGAGUUGGGCACUCUAGUGAGACUGCCGGUGACAAACCGGAGGAAGGUGGGGACGACGUCAGAUCAUCAUGCCCCUUAUGACCUGGGCUACACACGUGCUACAAUGGACGGUACAACGAGUCGCAAACUCGCGAGAGUAAGCUAAUCUCUUAAAGCCGUUCUCAGUUCGGACUGUAGGCUGCAACUCGCCUAC
rnacentral:rRNA from 1 species